rnacentral:rRNA from 1 species
UUACCGUAGGUGAACCUGCGGUAGGAUCAUUGUCGUGCCUGGCGAACCGUGAAGGGGAGGGAAGGAUUCUCCGAUGCAUCCGCACGAAACCACCCACCGAGACGAAACUCCCAUGUGGAGGGCAAGGGCGGUCGGGUCGGGCGGGUCACCCUCUCCUGCCCCCUGUCGUCGUUGUCAUCUCGAUCCAAUGAAGGUGCGUUGGCCUUGCCGUGCCAUCCAGCAGGGGAUUCCCUCCGUCGCGUGCCGCGGUGUGGGACUGCCAGUCGGAGGGCCAUUGUGCAGUGCCAUGGGUUUUACUUCGUGGGUUCCCUCGGCGGUUGCCUGCCUUGGUCGCGUGAGCACGCGGGGCAUCGCGGUAGGCCAACGUGUGUGGGAAGGUGUCCGCACCGUCGCCUGCCGGUCGACCCCACCGCUACCGUUGGAGGCGGUGGCCGUUCGGUUGGUUCCCUAAGCAGACCUCCGACGCGAUGCGCUCGAGCGGUACUGCCGGUCCUUCGUAGCUUGAUGCCCAACGUGGUCGGGCUCGGCACCGACCGAGGAUGUUUUUGGGCGAGCAUUGGUUCGAGGCUGCCACAACCCCCUGCCACGAUGUCCGCCCGACAUCGCCGUGCGGUGGGUCGGCCCUCCGAUGGUAGCACUCGCGAUCCGAGUCGCGGGGAUGACACCCCGUCGGACGGAGCCGUCCUCACCCUCGGCCCCCGGGCCUUCGUCUAGCCGGACGGGGACAACCCCUCUUCUCCCUUUGUUGCUCACCUCUCCCAUCGUGGGGGCCGAACUCCUCUGCCAAGCCGCUCUUGGAAGCAUCACCCGGCACCACGGGUUUUAGUUCCUGUGGGCGGGCAGCGAGGGGGGACUUGGGCGCAUCAACAAGAGACCCCCCCAAAAAACAUUCGGUGCCACUCCGCACCAAGGACAUUGAUGCAAGCCGUGUCGGACCCCCGUGCCUUGUGCGCGGAGGGCGGCCGGCAUCUGACCAACAUGACUCUCGGCAACGGAUAUCUCGGCUCUCGCCACGAUGAAGAACGUAGCGAAAUGCGACACUUGGUGUGAAUUGCAGAAUCCCGUGAAUCAUCGAGUCUUUGAACGCAAGUUGCGCCCGAGGCUUCGGUCGAGGGCACGUCUGCCUGGGCGUCGCACUCCAAGAAAAAAGGAAAAGAAAACCGACCUCCCUUCGCCCCCGCAUGGGGGUGGGAGGACCGGGAUGUGGUCAUCCGUGCCCCACGACGGCGCGGUCGGCUGAAACGUGCGCGUUGGCUCAUCGUCCCUUCUGACCCCGACGAGCGGUGGCCCCCUUCGGAGUCGGCGUUGGUCGGGUGUCAGGCGAUCGAGACUCCGCGUAGGACUUUACGGCACGGCGGGCGGCUUGCGUUUUUUCGUGCGGCCCCCGUCCCCUGCCCCAGCUCGCGCCCCCAGGUCAGGCGAGAAC